rnacentral:rRNA from 1 species
ACACUCCUGCGGGAGGCAGCAGUGGGGAAUAUUGCACAAUGGGCGCAAGCCCGAUGCAGCCAUGCCGCGUGUAUGAAGAAGGCCUUCGGGUUGUAAAGUACUUUCAGCGGGGAGGAAGGCAAUACGGUUAAUAACCGUGUUGAUUGACGUUACCCGCAGAAGAAGCACCGGCUAACUCCGUGCCAGCAGCCGCGGUAAUACGGAGGGUGCAAGCGUUAAUCGGAAUUACUGGGCGUAAAGCGCACGCAGGCGGUCUGUCAAGUCGGAUGUGAAAUCCCCGGGCUCAACCUGGGAACUGCAUUCGAAACUGGCAGGCUUGAGUCUUGUAGAGGGGGGUAGAAUUCCAGGUGUAGCGGUGAAAUGCGUAGAGAUCUGGAGGAAUACCGGUGGCGAAGGCGGCCCCCUGGACAAAGACUGACGCUCAGGUGCGAAAGCGUGGGGAGCAAACAGGAUUAGAAACCCUUGUAGUCCCAUGA